CCCCUUUUCUUGCGAGGGCCGGGUCACUAUAUUCGCUGCGUCGGCUUGACCGACUAUGGCGAUAAACUGCCGGUGAAAUAAGCCAUUCGGACCCGGGGGCAGUGCCCGGCGCCUCCACCACAAACCGCCGCAGGGCUCCGGCCGAGGGCGGCUUCUGAUGGGGGCGAAACAGGAUCGACGAGGGUGUAAAGAUCGGACUUUCGCUCGGCAUGAUACCACCGUUAUCGGGUCAAACUAGUAGUUGCAAACGACAACUAUGCGGAGGCACGUCUCGCUGCUUAAUGCAGUGCGACAGCUUCACUUGAACUCCUAAGGGUUCGCACCUUUAGGCGGGGUCCGGAGGCACCUGGCAACAGAAGCCUCCACU
rnacentral:tmRNA from 1 species